UACGGAGGGGGCGAGCGUUAUUCGGAAUCAUUGGGCGUAAAGGGCUCGUAGGCGGUUUGUCGCGUCGGGAGUGAAAACAUCGGGCUUAACUCGAUGCUUGCUUUCGAUACGGGCAGACUUGAGGUAUGCAGGGGAGAAUGGAAUUCCUGGUGUAGCGGUGAAAUGCGCAGAUAUCAGGAGGAACACCGGUGGCGAAGGCGGUUCUCUGGGCAUUACCUGACGCUGAGGAGCGAAAGUGUGGGGAGCGAACAGG
rnacentral:rRNA from 1 species